AACGAACGCUGGCGGCAGGCUUAACACAUGCAAGUCGAACGCCCCGCAAGGGGAGUGGCAGACGGGUGAGUAACACGUGGGGAUCUGCCCGAUGGUACGGAAUAAUUCCGGGAAACUGGGACUAAUACCGUAUGUGCCCGCAAGGGGAAAGAUUUAUCGCCAUUGGAUGAACCCGCGUCGGAUUAGCUAGUUGGUGUGGUAAAGGCGCACCAAGGCGACGAUCCGUAGCUGGUCUGAGAGGAUGAUCAGCCACACUGGGACUGAGACACGGCCCAGACGCCUACGGGAGGCAGCAGUGGGGAAUAUUGGACAAUGGGCGCAAGCCUGAUCCAGCCAUGCCGCGUGAGUGAUGAAGGCCUUAGGGUUGUAAAGCUCUUUCGCCGACGAAGAUAAUGACGGUAGUCGGAGAAGAAGCCCCGGCUAACUUCGUGCCAGCCGCCGCCGUAACAC
rnacentral:rRNA from 1 species